rnacentral:rRNA from 1 species
CUCGGAGUUGAUCCUGGCUCAGAUUGAACGCUGGCGGAAUGCUUUACACAUGCAAGUCGAACGGUAGAGGGGGCAACCCCUUGAGAGUGGCGAACGGGUGAGUAAUAUAUCGGAACGUGCCCAGUCGUGGGGGAUAACGUAGCGAAAGUUACGCUAAUACCGCAUACGAUCUAAGGAUGAAAGCGGGGGUAUCGCAAGACCUCGCGCGAUUGGAGCGGCCGAUAUCAGAUUAGGUAGUUGGUGAGGUAAAACGCUCACCAAGCCAACGAUCUGUAGCUGGUCUGAGAGGACGACCAGCCACACUGGAACUGAGACACGGUCCAGACU